UGGGGGAUAUUGCACAAUGGGGGGAACCCUGAUGCAGCGACGCCGCGUGAGCGAAGAAGUACCUCGGUAUGUAAAGCUCUAUCAGCAGGGAAGAAAAUGACGGUACCUGACUAAGAAGCCCCGGCUAAAUACGUGCCAGCAGCCGCGGUAAUACGUAUGGGGCAAGCGUUAUCCGGAUUUACUGGGUGUAAAGGGAGCGCAGGCGGCCUGCCAAGUCUGGUGUGAAAACCCGGGGCUCAACCCCGGGCCUGCAUUGGAAACUGGCGGGCUGGAGUGUCGGAGGGGCAGGCGGAAUUCCUAGUG
rnacentral:rRNA from 1 species